rnacentral:rRNA from 1 species
GACGAACGCUGGCGGCGUGCCUAAUACAUGCAAGUAGGACGCAAUUGCGCACGGGUGAGUAACGCGUAGGUAACUACCUAUUAGAGGGGGAUCACUAUUGGAAACGAUAGCUAAUACCGCAUACUAGUAGAUGGACCUGCGUUGUAUUAGCUAGGAGGUAGGGUAAUGGCCUACCUAGGCCACGAUACAUAGCCGACCUUAGAGGGGUCUCGGCCAAACCGGGACCUGUACACGGCCCAGACUCCGAAGGGAGGCAGCAGGAGGGAAUUUUCGGAAAUGGGGGAAACCCUGACCGAGCAACGCCGCGUGAGUGAAGAAGGUUUUCGGAUCGUAAAGCUCUGUUGUUAAGGAAGCGGUACUUAACCAGAAAGCGACGGCUAACUACGUGCCAGCAGCCGCGGUAAUAC